rnacentral:lncRNA from 1 species
CAUAUUUCUCUCAUUCAGUUUUUUGAAUUUCUCUGAUUUCUCUGAUUUUCUCAGAAAUUGAAUGUGGGGACAUGUCAAACCUUACUCUUAACAGUUAAAGAAGAGGGCUGACCUUUAAAGAGGGGUGCUUAAGACCUGCUGCUGAGAAGGUGACAGAUCAUCUGUGUAGGUAGCAGCACUAUGUGGAACAGCUUUGCCCAUGGGAGGCUGCAAGGAUUCUGUCAGGUUCACUGGCAUUCCUACAACAUCCUAUCUUGAGAGAGAAGGCACCAGUUAACUCUUUCUUACCAUCCUUUAGAUGGGAAGCUUGUAAUGAAAUGGAUGGGAAAAGCCAGGUGCCAAAAAGAAGGAUUUGGCAGUUUGGAGGUGAAUACUCUGGUGCAUUGGGUGCUUAGGAGCAGUGGGACCUGGAGUUAAGUACCUGCUCUGUGAGGUAGAAUCAAGAAUCCUGUUGAGCACUUGGCCUUGGAGCGAAAUGAGAAAUAAAAUAAAGAUACCUCAAAAUGUGAUAUAAAAC